UGGGGAAUAUUGGACAAUGGGCGAAAGCCUGAUCCAGCCAUGCCGCGUGUGUGAAGAAGGUCUUCGGAUUGUAAAGCACUUUAAGUUGGGAGGAAGGGCAGUAAGCGAAUACCUUGCUGUUUUGACGUUACCGACAGAAUAAGCACCGGCUAACUCUGUGCCAGCAGCCGCGGUAAUACAGAGGGUGCAAGCGUUAAUCGGAAUUACUGGGCGUAAAGCGCGCGUAGGUGGUUCGUUAAUUUGAAUGUGAAAGCCCCGGGCUCAACCUGGGAACUGCAUCCAAAACUGGCGAGCUAGAGUAGGGCAGAGGGUGGUGGAAUUUCCUGUGUAGCGGUGAAAUGCGUAGAUAUAGGAAGGAACACCAGUGGCGAAGGCGACCACCUGGGCUCAUACUGACACUGAGGUGCGAAAGCGUGGGGAGCAAACAGG
rnacentral:rRNA from 1 species